GUGCUCGCUUUGGCAGCACAUAUACUAAAAUUGGAACGAUACAGAGAUUAGCACGGUCCCUGCGCAAAGGUGCCAUGCAAAUUCGUGAAGCGUUCCAUUUUUUU